GACGAACGCUGGCGGCGUGCCUAAUACAUGCAAGUCGAACGCUUUUUCUUUCACCGGAGCUUGCUCCACCGGAAAAAGAGGAGUGGCGAACGGGUGAGUAACACGUGGGUAACCUGCCCAUCAGAAGGGGAUAACACUUGGAAACAGGUGCUAAUACCGUAUAACAAUCAAAACCGCAUGGUUUUGAUUUGAAAGGCGCUUUCGGGUGUCGCUGAUGGAUGGACCCGCGGUGCAUUAGCUAGUUGGUGAGGUAACGGCUCACAAAGGCCACGAUGCAUAGCCGACCUGAGAGGGUGAUCGGCCACAUUGGGACUGAGACACGGCCCAAACUCCUACGGGAGGCAGCAGUAGGGAAUCUUCGGCAAUGGACGAAAGUCUGACCGAGCAACGCCGCGUGAGUGAAGAAGGUUUUCGGAUCGUAAAACUCUGUUGUUAGAGAAGAACAAGGAUGAGAGUAACUGUUCAUCCCUUGACGGUAUCUAACCAGAAAGCCACGGCUAACUACGUGCCAGCCGCCGCAGUAA
rnacentral:rRNA from 1 species